rnacentral:other from 1 species
AUCUUCCCGAGUGACACGUGACGGGCAGAAGCACUGUAGAACCAACAUUGCUGCUCCGGGAGUCCAAAUCCUGCGGGCCCGAGCAUGCCCGGCACCGACCGGGACGCUGACGGCCCACCGUGAGGACACCCACCUGAUGCGUUUCAGGUUCUAAACGCGACGCUCGCACGUGUCACUCGGGGGGAUC